rnacentral:rRNA from 1 species
GAGUUUUAUAUUUAAUUUUAUUUUGUAAUUUUAUAAAAAUUUAUAUUAAAAUAAAAUAAAAUAUUAUAUUGGGGUGAUAGAAAAAUUAAAUGAACUUUUUUUUAUAAAAGUAACAUGAAUAAAUGAUUAAUUGAUCCAUUAUUAAUGAUUAUAAGAAAAAAUUACCUUAGGGAUAACAGCGUAAUAUAUUUUUUUAGAACAAAUAAAAAAAAAUGAUUGC